UACGGGAGGCAGCAGUGGGGAAUAUUGCACAAUGGGCGCAAGCCUGAUGCAGCCAUGCCGCGUGUAUGAAAAAGGCCUUCGGGUUGUAAAGUACUUUCAGUCGUGAGGAAGGUGUUAAGGUUAAUAACCUUAGCAAUUGACGUUAGCGACAGAAGAAGCACCGGCUAACUCCGUGCCAGCAGCCGCGGUAAUACGGAGGGUGCGAGCGUUAAUCGGAAUUACUGGGCGUAAAGGGCACGCAGGCGGUUAAUUAAGUUGGAUGUGAAAUCCCCGGGCUUAACCUGGGAAUGGCAUUCAAGACUGGUUAGCUAGAGUCUUGUAGAGGGGGUAGAAUUCCAUGUGUAGCGGUGAAAUGCGUAGAGAUGUGGAGGAAUACCGGUGGCGAAGGCGGCCCCUGGACAAAGACUGACGCUCAUGUGCGAAAGCGUGGGGAGCGAAACAGGGAUUAGAUACCCGU
rnacentral:rRNA from 1 species